rnacentral:lncRNA from 1 species
AAAAUAGAGCAAGACACAUACAUGUCCCAUCCCAUCCCCCCCCAAAAAAGAUGAUUGUGUUCUGGGUACUCCAGACCUAUGACCCGUGGAAUGAGCCUUGAAGAUUGUCCUGAUGGACCCAACUCAACCGUGAAUGGAAUCUGCAACUAAGAAGCUACUAAAAUCAAAGGAUCAGCUAUUCCACUCCAAGAAGUAAACAUGGUUGUGAGAAACAUUGCAUUAUAAUCAUGUCAAAUUUGAACUUGAGGCUCCCAAGGCCAGAAGUAAAAGAGGAGCAUGUGCUCCUGCUACAGAAGGCCAAAUGAAGCAGAUGAAGACCACUCAGGCUGAGACAAUG